UUUUCGUCGUUGUUGUUUAACGCGUCUUCACUGAUCCCUGAUAUUUUAUCGAUUUUGUUCAAUUCAUACGUUUUAAUAUGGAUCAAGAGACGACAAGUUUGCUCGAACAAAUCGCUAGUGUGGUCAAAGAAUGCGAGCAGAUAUUGGAAGGAACUGGCAUUGUAGAAGAUGAAGAAAGAUAUAGAUAUACUCUAUUUUACUGGAAAUGGAAAUAAAAACAAGCCUUUGCAUUUGAAAGUCGACAGAUAAGAUCCAAAGCAUUUUGGGGAAAAAGAGUUCGAAAUCUUCCAAUCAUCCUGAUUGACCAGGAAGGUAUUUACAAUGUUAUUGAAAAACAUAUUUUGAUGUGGGCAGCAGUUGAAAAGAUAGCUGAUGCAGUUGUUGCCUUCCUGGCUUCAUUCUAUUUGUUGGACAUUGACUAUCAAAAACAUCAUGAAAUAGAAUUGCCAGUCCUGCAAGUUAUAAUUUUCAAAAACACUCAAGUGCCACAAGACAUCAGUUCAGCUUGUAUCAGCAUGUUAAGGUCAUAUAAAGAAGUAUGUUGAACUUUAGUUAAGU
rnacentral:lncRNA from 1 species